AGAAUCAACGCUGGCGGCGUGCCUAACACAUGCAAGUCGAACGAGAAAGUGGUAGCAAUACCAUGAGUAAAGUGGCGCACGGGUGAGUAACACGUGACUAACCUACCCUUGAGUGGGGGAUAACUGAGGGAAACCUUAGCUAAUACCGCAUAAUACCCACGGGUCAAAGGAGCAAUUCGCUCGAGGAGGGGGUCGCGGCCGAUUAGUUAGUUGGCAGGGUAAUGGCCUACCAAGACGAUGAUCGGUAUCCGGCCUGAGAGGGCGCACGGACACACUGGAACUGAAACACGGUCCAGACUCCUACGGGAGGCAGCAGUGGGAAUUUUGCGCAAUGGGGGAAACCCUGACGCAGCAACGCCGCGUGGAGGAUGAAGUCCUUCGGGACGUAAACUCCUUUCGAUCGGGACGAUUAUGACGGUACCGGAAGAAGAAGCCCGGCUAACUUCGUGCCAGCAGCCGC
rnacentral:rRNA from 1 species